rnacentral:rRNA from 1 species
GACGAACGCUGGCGGCGUGCUUAACACAUGCAAGUCGAACGGUAAGGCCCUUCGGGGUACACGAGUGGCGAACGGGUGAGUAACACGUGGGUGAUCUGCCCUGCACUUCGGGCUAAGCCUGGGAAACUGGGUCCAAUACCGGAUAGGACCCUGGGAUGCAUGUCCUGGGGUGGAAAGCUCUUGCGGUGUGGGAUGGGCCCGCGGCCGAUCAGCUUGUUGGUGGGGUGAUGGCCUACCAAGGCGACGACGGGUAGCCGGCCUGAGAGGGUGACCGGCCACACUGGGACUGAGAUACGGCCCAGACUCCUACGGGAGGCAGCAGUGGGGAAUAUUGCACAAUGGGCGCAAGCCUGAUGCAGCGACGCCGCGUGAGGGAUGACGGCCUUCGGGUUGUAAACCUCUUUCAGCACCGACGAAGCGCAAGUGACGGUAGGUGCAGAAGAAGGACCGGCCAACUACGUGCCAGCCGCCGCAGUAA